GGCAGUUUAGCUUAAUGGUAAGGAACUUGGCUGGAGUCUUCAAGUGAUAUGGGCUCAAUUCCCAUAGCUGGUG
rnacentral:tRNA from 1 species